UCGAGAUUAAUGGAGAUGUGAAAGUUUCUUCGUUCAAAGUAAUUCCUAGAAUAGCGACUACGUCAGAGAUUUCGACCUGGUCCUCAACUUGCAAACCAAACAUAACUGGCGAGAUAAUGUCUAUGGAUGACAUUGUUGACACUGGGCUUGCUCAAAUUAUUAUUCCCUCCGUCUGCGAUGAUGUUGACGAAUGUGCAAAUUCCCCAUGUGGUACCCACAAGUGUAUAAAUAUACGUGGUGGAUUCAAGUGUGAAUGUGAAAAAGGAUUCACUGGCAGUCAAUGUGAUAUUCUUAUCGACCUUUGUGAACAAAGCUUGUGCCAGAACAAUGCAACAUGUGUUUAUGGGAAAUUCCAAUUAUUCAUGUCAGUGCCCUAAUGAAUAUGGUGGAGCCUUUUGUCAAGUAAGAGCAGUUGACGGAGCGUGGUCUGAUUGGUCUGGUUGGACUAGCUGUUCAAAACCUGUGCUAAUGGUAUACAGGCAAGGACAAGAAGAUGUGACAGCCACCACUAAUGCACAAGGCACGGACUG